UACAGAGGGGGCAAGCGUUGUUCGGAAUUACUGGGCGUAAAGGGCGCGUAGGCGGCCUGUUAAGUCGAACGUAAAAUCCCCGGGCUCAACCCGGGAACUGCGUCCGAUACUGGCAGGCUUGAAUCCGGGGAGAGGGAUGUGGAAUUCCAGGUGUAGCGGUGAAAUGCGUAGAUAUCUGGAGGAACACCGGUGGCGAAGGCGACAUCCUGGACCGGUAUUGACGCUGAGGCGCGAAAGCUAGGGGGAGCAAAACGGGG
rnacentral:rRNA from 1 species